rnacentral:rRNA from 1 species
GGGUUGUGAGGUUAAGCGACUAAGCGUACACGGUGGAUGCCCUGGCAGUCAGAGGCGAUGAAGGACGUGCUAAUCUGCGAUAAGCGUCGGUAAGGUGAUAUGAACCGUUAUAACCGGCGAUUUCCGAAUGGGGAAACCCAGUGUGUUUCGACACACUAUCAUUAACUGAAUCCAUAGGUUAAUGAGGCGAACCGGGGGAACUGAAACAUCUAAGUACCCCGAGGAAAAGAAAUCAACCGAGAUUCCCCAGUAGCGGCGAGCGAACGGGGAGCAGCCCAGAGCCUGAAUCAGUGUGUGUGUUAGUGGAAGCGUCUGGAAAGGCGCGCGAUACAGGGUGACAGCCCCGUACACAAAAAUGCACAUGCUGUGAGCUCGAUGAGUAGGGCGGGACACGUGGUAUCCUGUCUGAAUAUGGGGGGACCAUCCUCCAAGGCUAAAUACUCCUGACUGACCGAUAGUGAACCAGUACCGUGAGGGAAAGGCGAAAAGAACCCCGGCGAGGGGAGUGAAAAAGAACCUGAAACCGUGUACGUACAAGCAGUGGGAGCACGCUUAGGCGUGUGACUGCGUACCUUUUGUAUAAUGGGUCAGCGACUUAUAUUCUGUAGCAAGGUUAACCGAAUAGGGGAGCCGAAGGGAAACCGAGUCUUAACUGGGCGUUAAGUUGCAGGGUAUAGACCCGAAACCCGGUGAUCUAGCCAUGGGCAGGUUGAAGGUUGGGUAACACUAACUGGAGGACCGAACCGACUAAUGUUGAAAAAUUAGCGGAUGACUUGUGGCUGGGGGUGAAAGGCCAAUCAAACCGGGAGAUAGCUGGUUCUCCCCGAAAGCUAUUUAGGUAGCGCCUCGUGAAUUCAUCUCCGGGGGUAGAGCACUGUUUCGGCAAGGGGGUCAUCCCGACUUACCAACCCGAUGCAAACUGCGAAUACCGGAGAAUGUUAUCACGGGAGACACACGGCGGGUGCUAACGUCCGUCGUGAAGAGGGAAACAACCCAGACCGCCAGCUAAGGUCCCAAAGUCAUGGUUAAGUGGGAAACGAUGUGGGAAGGCCCAGACAGCCAGGAUGUUGGCUUAGAAGCAGCCAUCAUUUAAAGAAAGCGUAAUAGCUCACUGGUCGAGUCGGCCUGCGCGGAAGAUGUAACGGGGCUAAACCAUGCACCGAAGCUGCGGCAGCGACGCUUAUGCGUUGUUGGGUAGGGGAGCGUUCUGUAAGCCUGUGAAGGUGUGCUGUGAGGCAUGCUGGAGGUAUCAGAAGUGCGAAUGCUGACAUAAGUAACGAUAAAGCGGGUGAAAAGCCCGCUCGCCGGAAGACCAAGGGUUCCUGUCCAACGUUAAUCGGGGCAGGGUGAGUCGACCCCUAAGGCGAGGCCGAAAGGCGUAGUCGAUGGGAAACAGGUUAAUAUUCCUGUACUUGGUGUUACUGCGAAGGGGGGACGGAGAAGGCUAUGUUGGCCGGGCGACGGUUGUCCCGGUUUAAGCGUGUAGGCUGGUUUUCCAGGCAAAUCCGGAAAAUCAAGGCUGAGGCGUGAUGACGAGGCACUACGGUGCUGAAGCAACAAAUGCCCUGCUUCCAGGAAAAGCCUCUAAGCAUCAGGUAACAUCAAAUCGUACCCCAAACCGACACAGGUGGUCAGGUAGAGAAUACCAAGGCGCUUGAGAGAACUCGGGUGAAGGAACUAGGCAAAAUGGUGCCGUAACUUCGGGAGAAGGCACGCUGAUAUGUAGGUGAAGUCCCUCGCGGAUGGAGCUGAAAUCAGUCGAAGAUACCAGCUGGCUGCAACUGUUUAUUAAAAACACAGCACUGUGCAAACACGAAAGUGGACGUAUACGGUGUGACGCCUGCCCGGUGCCGGAAGGUUAAUUGAUGGGGUUAGCGGUAACGCGAAGCUCUUGAUCGAAGCCCCGGUAAACGGCGGCCGUAACUAUAACGGUCCUAAGGUAGCGAAAUUCCUUGUCGGGUAAGUUCCGACCUGCACGAAUGGCGUAAUGAUGGCCAGGCUGUCUCCACCCGAGACUCAGUGAAAUUGAACUCGCUGUGAAGAUGCAGUGUACCCGCGGCAAGACGGAAAGACCCCGUGAACCUUUACUAUAGCUUGACACUGAACAUUGAGCCUUGAUGUGUAGGAUAGGUGGGAGGCUUAGAAGUGUGGACGCCAGUCUGCAUGGAGCCGACCUUGAAAUACCACCCUUUAAUGUUUGAUGUUCUAACGUUGACCCGUAAUCCGGGUUGCGGACAGUGUCUGGUGGGUAGUUUGACUGGGGCGGUCUCCUCCUAAAGAGUAACGGAGGAGCACGAAGGUUGGCUAAUCCUGGUCGGACAUCAGGAGGUUAGUGCAAUGGCAUAAGCCAGCUUGACUGCGAGCGUGACGGCGCGAGCAGGUGCGAAAGCAGGUCAUAGUGAUCCGGUGGUUCUGAAUGGAAGGGCCAUCGCUCAACGGAUAAAAGGUACUCCGGGGAUAACAGGCUGAUACCGCCCAAGAGUUCAUAUCGACGGCGGUGUUUGGCACCUCGAUGUCGGCUCAUCACAUCCUGGGGCUGAAGUAGGUCCCAAGGGUAUGGCUGUUCGCCAUUUAAAGUGGUACGCGAGCUGGGUUUAGAACGUCGUGAGACAGUUCGGUCCCUAUCUGCCGUGGGCGCUGGAGAACUGAGGGGGGCUGCUCCUAGUACGAGAGGACCGGAGUGGACGCAUCACUGGUGUUCGGGUUGUCAUGCCAAUGGCACUGCCCGGUAGCUAAAUGCGGAAGAGAUAAGUGCUGAAAGCAUCUAAGCACGAAACUUGCCCCGAGAUGAGUUCUCCCUGACUCCUUGAGAGUCCUGAAGGAACGUUGAAGACGACGACGUUGAUAGGCCGGGUGUGUAAGCGCAGCGAUGCGUUGAGCUAACCGGUACUAAUGAACCGUGAGGCUUAACCUUACAACGCCGAAGCUGUU